AUUAUCUUUGAAAAAUAAGUAACAACAUUUGUGCUUGAAAUGAAUAUCAAGAGAUUCUAGUAUUGUUUUUAAUUUAAAAAUCAUAUUCUAAAAUGGUAGCCACUAACUAAUUGGGUUUGGAUCAAAGACAAGAUUUUAGCUUGGGUUAUGGCUGAGGUUAUCAACUAUGGUGGGAAGAGAUUUCAAGUUUUCACAAUGUCUAGGACGAAGGUGGAGGUUACUGAUGCAAUUUCACCAAUUUUGCUAGAAAUAUCCACUGCCUGAAGUGCAAAGCUGAGGGACCAAAGAAGUCUGGUGGAAGUGAUAUUGAAAUGAAGAAAGGUGAUUGGAAUUAUCCAAAGACUAUGUUGCCACAUGAUGGUAUCGUGCUCCAGAACUCUAUGGGUCAAUUUUUCUUAAAA